rnacentral:rRNA from 1 species
CCUACGGGAGGCAGCAGUGAGGAAUAUUGGUCAAUGGACGAGAGUCUGAACCAGCCAAGUAGCGUGAAGGAUGACUGCCCUAUGGGUUGUAAACUUCUUUUAUAUGGGAAUAAAAUGUUCCACGUGUGGGAUUUUGUAUGUACCAUAUGAAUAAGGAUCGGCUAACUCCGUGCCAGCAGCCGCGGUAAUACGGAGGAUCCGAGCGUUAUCCGGAUUUAUUGGGUUUAAAGGGAGCGUAGGUGGAUUGUUAAGUCAGUUGUGAAAGUUUGCGGCUCAACCGUAAAAUUGCAGUUGAAACUGGCAGUCUUGAGUACAGUAGAGGUGGGCGGAAUUCGUGGUGUAGCGGUGAAAUGCUUAGAGAUCACGAAGAACUUCGAUUGCGAAGGCAGUUCACUGGACUGCAACUGACACUGAGGCUCGAAAGUGUGGGUAUCAAACAGGAUUAGAUACCCGAGUAGUC